GCAUGCUCUGACUUUGUAGGAGCAGCGCCACUCACUCACUCACUCACUCACUCACUCUCAAACUAUUGCCAGUAAAGUUCACAGCAACAACAACGAAAACCUGAACACACAGAAAGAUGCCGAGAAUCUCACUUGAAGAGCAGGCCGAGGUAAUUGGCGAGAUGAUGGAAAUUGUGAAGGAGCAGCCAGAGUUGUUGGACAUAUUGUAUGAGGCGCUGAUCGAUCUAGAACUACAUAAGCGUCAUUGCCGACUGAAUCCAAGUGUUGUGUUGCGUGCCUUUAGCUACGAAUUUAAUGACAAUGCGCCAGCGGCUUAAUCGAAGCGAAAUCUAAUCGUACAGCACUGAAAUUUCUUGUUAAACAACUUGCCAAUUGCAUGCGACUUCGACUUAAGCUGCAGCUGGGGAUGGGCAUGGGAUGCAACUGCAACUACAAAAUUUAGAUAAUUAAAAAUUCAGAGAACCGCAAUAAUUUUUUAAUGUGAAGUGCAGUCGUAACCGCAUCCUGUCCUGUCCUGUCCUGUCCUGUCGCGUCUCGUUCCGUUCAGUUUUUGGGAGUUUUGUUUGCAAUUAUAAAUAUGCAGAGAUACAAAUACACACACACA